GAUGCCAAUGGUAAUUGAAGCAAGCCAACCGGCCACGCUGGACAUAAGGAGUGGCAGAAGCAACAGGCGAAACAACAUGAAACCGCGAUCAUUUUGGUGGUUUUACCCCAUCACAUCCUUAUAGCAGCAGAUUCAACCACGGGUAAUGCCCAUAACCGCCUAUUUAAAUUUCACGGAUAAACGAUUAUACCCAUAACCAUUAGUUCGUUUAAACGGUUACCCAUAACCGUAACCGUGAACUUUAAAUGGACGGGUAACUGCGGUUUCCCAAACCCAUGAGUGUUUUCUAGUAUAUCUAACAUGUCUGUAAGAAAUGGAUAUCCUCACUGCUCUAGGGUAAGUUUUUAUUUUGUUAAUUACUUCCCUUCUUCGGUUUUCCCAUCAUGCUUUAUAUCAGUCUUGUCAUAAGAUCAGUGGUAAGACAGGAAGAUAUAAAAAUCGAGGUAGGGAAGUUAUUCUCUUGUUAGAUUGUAUGGAACCGUACCUAAAUAAAUUGUUUUCUAACGUUUAUUCUUCAUAUUCGUUCAACAUUAAUCUUGAUGAGAUAGACUAAAAUGGGCACCUGUUGACGUGGUUGCAAGGGGAAUUUACCCUUCCUAAUGUGUUUGAAACAUUAUCAGGAAGGUUGAAUGAUACAAAUUGAAAGGUAAAUCUUCCUUGCAACCACAUCAACGGAUGUCCACUGUGCUCUAUCUUAUCACGUUUAAUGCUGAAACGAAUGCUAAAGAAUAAACGUUGGAAAACAAAUUAUUUAGUUUUGCUUCCACACAAUCUAACAAGAGAAUAACUUACAUGACUUGGUUUUUCUAUAUUGAUAUAAAGCAUGAUGGGAAAAUCGAAGAAGUAAAGUAAUUAACGAAUUAAAAACUUACCCGAGAGUAGUGAGGAUAUUCAUUUUUUCGAGACAUGUUGGAUAUAUCAGGAAAGCCCACAUGAGGCAAACAACCAAAAUUGUUUCCAUACAGUCAUAAUGUCUCCUAUAAGGCUAGAUGCCAAGAGUACAAUGAAAGCCCACGUGAGGCCAACAACCAAAAAAUAAAGAUGAAAGUGCAAAGGGAGAAAAACCCGACACU
rnacentral:lncRNA from 1 species